UUGUGGUAUUUUUCAUAGGUUUAUCAAACUGCAUCUUUGCACUACUUUAUUUUCAAGAUGCAAUAUCCACACUUUAUAAUCAUUUAUAAAUAGCUUCUACUAUUUAAUAUAUAGCAACUGGCUCCUUUGUUUACUGAAAAAAGAUGCUGCAUUAUUGGAUAGAAGAAUAGAUUAUAUUUUUUUCUUCAUGUGCACAUGAACCAACUAUAUUUUCAUCAAUAUUUGUAUAAAACUAUGUGA
rnacentral:lncRNA from 1 species